AAAACAGGAAACAAAUUGUUUCAAUGGAAAUAUGUAUAGUUUCUUUCGAGCUAAUUCCCUUUUUAGGUUUUCUUUGCAGCUCAAAACUUGAAGGAAGGUCACCAAGUUGCAGGCUCUCGCUCUCACACUAAGUAUCAAUAGGUUUCGUUUUAUUAGCUUAUUUGCCAGAUUUGGGGAAUAGUUUUCAGCAAGAAAAGAGUUUUUGCAAAACGUUGGGCACUGCAAUAGAAAACGAAGAAGGCAAAUCAGUUUCAUCUCCGAAUUCAAAAGGUUUAGAACAUCAAAUUAAGUUAUAGGUGUUCUUCAAAUUAAGUUUCAGAUCACAACCCUUGCAAAUGCAAUUGAAGAGAUGUUAGAGUGACAGUGGUAGAGAAACUGAGAACAAAACUGCAGCUCAUCAAACCUAUCCAGCACGAACUCUGAAGCACCCAAGUGGCCAAGUAUGUGCAACAUAAAAAAAGUUAUG